rnacentral:rRNA from 1 species
GACGAAGGGGGCUAGCGUUGUUCGGAUUUACUGGGCGUAAAGCGCACGUAGGCGGAUCUUUAAGUCAGAGGUGAAAUCCCAAGGCUCAACCUUGGAACUGCCUUUGAUACUGGGGAUCUUGAGUCCGGGAGAGGUGAGUGGAACUGCGAGUGUAGAGGUGAAAUUCGUAGAUAUUCGCAAGAACACCAGUGGCGAAGGCGGCUCACUGGCCCGGUACUGACGCUGAGGUGCGAAAGCGUGGGGAGCAAACAGG